UGCCCGAUAGUGUAAUGGCAACACACCGGUUUUUGGUACCGUUAUUCUAGGUUCGAGUCCUAGUCGGGUAACGA
rnacentral:tRNA from 2 species